GACGAACGCUGGCGGCGUGCUUAACACAUGUAAGUCGAGCGAUGAAGUUCCUUCGGGAAUGGAUUAGCGGCGGACGGGUGAGUAACACGUGGGUAACCUGCCUCAUAGAGGGGAAUAGCCUUCCGAAAGGAAGAUUAAUGCCGCAUAAGAUUGCAGUUUCACAUGAAACAGCAAUUAAAGGAGUAAUCCGCUAUGAGAUGGACCCGCGUCGCAUUAGCUAGUUGGUAAGGUAACGGCUUACCAAGGCGACGAUGCGUAGCCGACCUGAGAGGGUGAUCGGCCACAUUGGGACUGAGACACGGCCCAGACUCCUACGGGAGGCAGCAGUGGGGAAUAUUGCACAAUGGGGGAAACCCUGAUGCAGCAACGCCGCGUGAGUGAUGAAGGUCUUCGGAUUGUAAAACUCUGUCUUCAGGGACGAUAAUGACGGUACCUGAGGAGGAAGCCACGGCUAACUACGUGCCAGCAGCCGCGGUAA
rnacentral:rRNA from 1 species